CUUCUGGAGGAAUUUUCCAGAGCAUUAAGCAGUAAGUACUAACUCUCAGAAUGAUGUGAGUCUCCAGUCCAAUGAUGCCAGCUUUCCAUCUUGGUAAAGUGGAAGAAGUUUGGGUGGGUUGAAUGGGUACCAUCUUUGAUCUUAGAGGUACUAGGUAGGGCCCUCGUUUAUUGCUAUAUGAUAUUUUAGUGUAGCAGUUUUAGUGUUAACUUGAAUAUGUCAGAAGAAUUGAAGUUGGAAUUUCAAAAAAAAUGCAUGAAUCAUUGUUACUUUCAAAUUCCAGUUCUCCUCCGUGGUAUAAAAUAUCACAUUUCUUUUAAUAGAUCAUAAAAUUAUUCCAAAUUGCCAGAUCCAAAUGCCAAACAACAAACAUCAUCUUUAGGAGUAGGGUUAAAUUUUACUCUCCAAUGAAAAAUUCCCAACCCAGAACAGAUUUUAGCCAGGCAGUGAGCACAGCUCGCUGGGUGAACCACACAGGCCAUGGUGGGUGCAGCGUUCAGAGCCGGAAAGCAAACAGCUGCUGUAGCCUGAUUUGAGUUAAAAUAGUGUGAGUGUUUAGUCUGGCGCACGGCUUCAGGGGAGAUUGGCAGCUGGGUCAAACAAAGUCCUUCCAUUGGCUCUCUUCCCAGGCAGCUUCUGCUAGUAUUUAGGUACUAGUGCAGUGUAGGGCCUUUCUCAGGCAAAACCUAACAUCUGACCGCACCCUCUUUGCUUUUUCCAGAAAAAAAAAAAAAAAAAAAAGAAGAAGAAAGAAAGAAAGAAAAAAAGCUGCUUUUUCCUCUUUUUCCUUCUUUCGUUAAGAUAAAUUCUCCAGCAGGCAACUUCUCCCACUAAUUGUGUAUUAGCCAUGUAUUUUAUCUUGAGAACUGACGCACUGGGCUCUCAACAUGGUGUGGAAGGCAGCCUGUUACAGUGCUGGAUUCAUAAAAGGGCCUUUAUGGUUUGUGAAAGAAUAUCUGUGUGCUUAGGCAGGAAACUUUUUGAUCUGCAGAAAAGCCAGAAGACAUCUAGGAUAUCCUUGAAGAUUAACCAGAGAACUUUUCAUAUACUUCUAAAGGUAGGAAAUAGAAGCCCCCUUUUUUUGGUUAUAAAAUAUGUUGUAUUUGUUUUAGCUAUGUUUGAAUAAUUUACUUCCCUUGUAGAUAUAGAUAGAAUUGAUGCUGCUUAUUCUGAAAAACUGAAAAAUGCAUUAUGUCUGCCUACUUGCUAAACUCGAAGUCAUCCAACACAUAGUGUUUAAUCGUCAGUUUGAUUUUUCUUCCAUACUGCUACUACUAUAGUUUCUUGUGUCUUUUACAGUUUAUGUUUUACUGUGGACAGAAUUCAUUCAUUAUUUUACAUUUUUGUAUUAUCGUCU
rnacentral:lncRNA from 1 species